rnacentral:rRNA from 1 species
GUAGGUGGCAAGCGUUGUCCGGAAUUAUUGGGCGUAAAGCGCGCGCAGGCGGUUCUUUAAGUCUGAUGUGAAAGCCCACGGCUCAACCGUGGAGGGUCAUUGGAAACUGGAGAACUUGAGUACAGAAGAGGAAAGCGGAAUUCCACGUGUAGCGGUGAAAUGCGUAGAGAUGUGGAGGAACACCAGUGGCGAAGGCGGCUUUCUGGUCUGUAACUGACGCUGAGGCGCGAAAGCGUGGGGGAGCAAACAGGAUUAGAUACCCUGGUAGUCCACGCCGUAAACGAUGAGUGCUAAGUGUUAGGGGGUUUCCGCCCCUUAGUGCUGCAGCUAACGCAUUAAGCACUCCGCCUGGGAGUACGACCGCAAGGUUG